rnacentral:rRNA from 1 species
UACGUAGGGGGCAAGCGUUGUCCGGAUUUAUUGGGCGUAAAGAGCGCGUAGGCGGCCAUUCAGGUCAGCUGUGAAAACUCGAGGCUCAACCUCGAGACGUCGGUUGAAACCGUUUGGCUAGAGUCCGGAAGAGGAGAGUGGAAUUCCCGGUGUAGCGGUGAAAUGCGCAGAUAUCGGGAAGAACACCCGUGGCGAAGGCGGCUCUCUGGGACGGUACUGACGCUGAGACGCGAAAGCGUGGGGAGCGAACAGG